GGCAGUGUAGCACAGUGGUUAAGGAGCUGGACUCGUAACCGAAAGGUUGCCAGUUCGAUUCCCCGCUGGGGCACUGCUG
rnacentral:tRNA from 1 species